UUAGCUCAGUUGGCUAGAGCGUGGUGCUAAUGAUGCCAGGGUUGUGGGUUUGAUCCCCAUA
rnacentral:tRNA from 1 species